AGGACGAACGCUGGCGGCGUGCUUAACACAUGCAAGUCGAACGGAAAGGCCCUUCGGGGUACUCGAGUGGCGAACGGGUGAGUAACACGUGGGUGAUCUGCCCUGCACUUCGGGAUAAGCCUGGGAAACUGGGUCUAAUACCGGAUAUGACCAUGGGAUGCAUGUCUUGUGGUGGAAAGCUUUUGCGGUGUGGGAUGGGCCCGCGGCCUAUCAGCUUGUUGGUGGGGUGAUGGCCUACCAAGGCGACGACGGGUAGCCGGCCUGAGAGGGUGUCCGGCCACACUGGGACUGAGAUACGGCCCAGACUCCUACGGGAGGCAGCAGUGGGGGAAUAUUGCACAAUGGGCGCAAGCCUGAUGCAGCGACGCCGCGUGGGGAUGACGGCCUCGGUUGUAACCCUUUCAGUAGGACGAAGCGCAAGUGACGGUACCUACAGAAGAAGGACCGGCCAACUACGUGCCAGCAGCCGC
rnacentral:rRNA from 1 species